AGGAUCGCAGAGGCAGCAGCAGGCGAGAUUCCUCUCCCACUUUCCCCUAGCCGCGGGGGGGGGGGCGUGCAUGCAACCCCCCUCCCCGCCCCUCCUCCUGCUCUCACCGACCAGCAGGGGGGGCCAAACGGGAUGGGGCAGCCCUGGAGUGGGGAGGGGAGGGGAGGGCACUCCCCUCAGUGGCUAGGACGGGCUCGAGCAAGUCAAGGCGAGUGGGGGGGGGGACGGGACCGGGAGACCCAGGAGGAGACUGCGAGGAGAAGGGCACGGCUAGGGGGAAGAGGCAGCAGAGGACACAACAACGGAGGAGCAGCUCCCCUGCGAGCGAGAUUGCUCGCCUGCACUGAAGGAGACGUGGCCCUGCGUGCCCAGCCGGCCCUGGGAUAAGACGAGACUUUCUUUCCAGCCAUGAUCAUCCAAAGUGGGGGGGGGGGGGAUCGCCUGGCACUGGGAAGGCACCCACCCACCUCACAAAGCUGCGAGUCCACACCCCACACACCCAGCCUCCACCCGCCUGUGUGCCAGACCACCCGCCCCUCCUGUCCCGAGUGCACAAGCCUCGGUAAUAAAUGACCGAUCAGAUUUGAAAACCAAAAACGGAGCAAAAGAACCAAAGACAUUCCUGCUCUUCAAAGUCCACCCUCUCUUUCGCACUCACGCACUUAGGAGAGCGUCUCCUCAAGUUGUAAGAAAGUUGAGUUUGGGAGCAGGGCUGUAAAUGAUAAUCUUGGGCUGGAAAAGUACAUGCAUUUGCUGAGCACCACUCUUAAACGACCACUUAUGUUUAAGCUAAAUAUUAACAUUCGGGGACUAUGUAAAAUAGACUCAGAGACACUGGACCACUUCCUUUUGGUGUAGGAGUGUGUAAGCUGUCCAGUUACACAGAAUGCUUCAAAAAGUCGAAUGGGGAGGCAGGGCAUGUGGCAUUGCUAUCAAAAGAAACGCUAUACUUACCAACUAAAACAGUCCCUUUCAUCACUCAAGUCACACUGUCCUUACAGGAAGAAAAUGACACCCAAAGAAAUCGAAAUAGAAUAACUGGUUUGUUUUAAAAUAUAUUGAAAUGUGGGUUGCUUUAAGAAAGACACUUAUUGCAGUGAUACUCAAAAAACACUUACUAAAAGUAAGACUCCACUGACUUGAAGGAAAUGUGAUUAGAAUUGGGAUCAUAGAGUUUUUCAUUGCAUAUGAAAGUAUUCUUGAUCCACGGCUAGUAUGUUUUUUUAAAAAGAAAUAUAUCUCUGUGUGUGAUUUGUACAAAGAAAAAGCAUUGCCCUGAUUCAAUAGUUUACUAUACAUGUGAUCAUUCUCUCCCUCCCUCUCUCUCUGGCAUAAAAGUAAAGCUGAAUCAGGGAUAAAGUACACUGCAAACAAAGAAUUGCUUCCUGUAAACUAUAAAAGUAAAGGCUUAAAAUACAGCCAAGAACAUACUUUACCUAGAAAUGUGGAGGGCGGUGGGGGGGGGGGGGAGGACUGCAAGAGGAUGUGUUCUUGCACUCUGAAAUUGGAGCAUGUAAGUUGCUGACAAUGCUUUGCACUGUCAAGGGCCAUUUGAAAUGUGAAGGUUUUUAACAUUAGACCUGAACAAAAGCUGGUUGCAACAUCAAAAUAAUAUGCACAUCUAGAGAGAUGCUAUUGUUUUGUGUUUCCUCUUCAGCCACUGGCUGUGAUUUUAAUUGUGCUGGAGGAUCUUCAUUAGUAUUAGCACAUGGAGAGAUUUCACAAAGCUGCUUCAUUAGGUGGGGUGGGGGGAGCUUGGCAGACUAGGUCUUUUUGCAUGCAAUGAGAAUGUCAGCCUUACCUCGGUCAUUUGUAACAUAAUAAGUGCAAGCACAAUGAUUGCAAUGCAGGAACACUGGGGGAAGGGCAAACAUACUGCCUGUCUAACAAGGAUAUCUGAAAUGCUCCUUGAAACAGGCAAAUGUAUGCUAAAAAUUAGCAGGAAUUAUGGCUUGGCAGACUGAUGAAAAAUCAGUUAAUGGGCUGUGAUUUUAAUUGUAAUAGUGGUCCUAGUUUAUUUUGUUCCUAGGAUUCACAUUCAGCAGCAAAAUCAUGCUAGCAUUUAUUGAUUUUUUUCCCCACUGCCACAUUCCCGGAAUACAGAUUUUAAUCAUUUCACUACACCACACUCAGUAAUUUCAUUAAAAAACUGGAACCUUCCAUCCCCAGAAAAGCAUUUAAUUUCAAUGACACACAAUUUCUCUUAGCAGCAAACUGUCUCAACAGUAAAAGCUGGCCUAAGGUUCAAAUGCAUAAUUUAAUCCUGAGUUAUCCAUGUUCUGCAUUCCUUUGAAGCUAUAAUUUGACUAACUACCUAAUAACUGUAAUAAGGACAAUGAUUUCCUUAUAAUAUAUUAUUAACCCAUAUUUAAUUAACUCAGAGGCCAAGCUCUGUACAUGUUUGAUUGGGUCAGUAGUUCUAUAACCUCAAAAUUUACUAAUAAUAUUCUUGGGGGGGAAAUGUGGCAUAAGAAUAUUGCUAUGAAUAUACCCAAUUAGAUAUUUCACUCAGGAUGCUACACAUCAAAAGCUCAUAAAUGCUCUAAGGCGGCCAAUAUUGUCACUCAAAAGAUAAUCGGAUUUUUAAAUAAACAAAAAAUAAACAUUGGAUUUAGUUAAUUCACACAGUAAAUUGCAUGGGUAUUUUGCCAGAUACAUAAAAAUCAAGACCAUUGCAAUUCAGGGGAGAAAGCAUUUCAGUUAAUAAUAAUGUUGGAGGGAAGUUGAGAACAGUCAAUUAGUUUAGAAUUAUUAGGAAGAACAACACCAAAACUUAAGAAAAGUCAUAAUAUAUUAUGAUAGUAUAAGACUUUUUGACACAGCCCUAACACUUGCUUUGCUGACAAGUGCAUAGAAUAAGAUAUAUGCCAGCUGCUACCUUUGUGCUGUCUCAGAAGCAUGAUGUGAUAGCAGCAUUUUGGGGACUUUGUAGAGCAACAGUAUGCCCAUUUAUAGAUAACCAUAUAUACUCUGACAAUACUCAUUUACCUUAUCCAGUAAUGAAACAUUACAUUACUCCCCACCUCCAAACGCCACACUUUCCCUUCUGCAAAUAACGUUUAACAAGAAAUCUUCGGAAUCAUUAGAGAAAUCAAACACUACCUCUUUCAAUUCACUGGAAAGCAAUCUAUUGAUUUUGCUUCAAUUAGCACUUUAAAAUAUAGUACAACCCAUUGAUGCCAUCUGUGGUCCAAACCAAAUGAGAUUCUUUUAAGAUAAAUGGUAACUGUCUUUUGGUACCAAGUGCUAGCAUGAACAAACUGGUUCUACUAAGACACAGGCCAACAUUUCAUCUGAAAAUGCUUAUUAUAAUAUUAUUUUAAUAUGCUUAUUCAAGAGCAGCACAUUACUGGAUUUGGUUGAUGCAUUUGAGAUUUGCAAGUAUUGUCUCAGAAAUGUUCAUAGUUACCUUUUAAAUUUGGCUUCCUUUGGCUGUGAAGCUGUGGUUCUCUGUUGGUUUGGAAAAUAUUGCAUAUAGACAAUAAAUAUGUUUGCUUUGUCUAUUUUUUUAAAUAAUUAAUUGUUUUUGAAAAGUAUUGACAUUCUCUUUUGGUUUGCUAUGCAAGCACCAUUUUGAAAGAGGGCAGUAUAACAUUAUUAGGUAUGCCAAUAAUGUGCAGUUUCAUAUUUUGGUAUCUUUCGACAGGUAAUACAUGCGUUGGCUUUUCUAUCUGGUUGAUAGUACUUCCAUCAGUUUAAUGCAGUCUUCAGACGUGUUACUAAGGACAUGGAAAGGACUUAGAGAAGACCAUUGCAAUUAUGAAAGAGUCGAGUCUUGGAAAGUUUCCUAGAGUUGUCAUUUUAUAUCUGUGACUAAUGUUAUAUCUGUAUAUUGAGCUAUGCAUGUGGAUAAAACAGGAGUUUUAAACAUUU